AUGGUGUUGUGGCGCCGAGGCCGGGCCGACCUGAGCGCCCUACUCCUAGCGACCGUCGUCGCCUCCUGGAUCCUAUUCCAUGGCGCCUCCGGUUACACGGCCGUGUCACUGGCCGCCGACAUGCUCUUCCUCCUUCUGGUCGUGCUGUACGCGUGGUCCAGGGCUGCGCGCCUCCUCGGCCACCCCGCGCCGCCCAUCCCCGACCUGCAGCUGGUGGCCGACGAGCUCGACGCGCUCAUCAGCUCCGGCCUCGCCGGCAUCGCCUCCGCCUUCCGCCGCGUCGCGCAGGGCCAGCCCGGCUCUGGGCGCGUCUUCGCCUGA
rnacentral:rRNA from 1 species